GAACCCAAAAGCCUUAAGUUUGCACUCACCACCCUUUACUUUAGUGAUUUCCUUUUGGGAACAUAGCAAGUCUCCAAGACCGAUGUCAGCUUCACUUUAGUAACAGAUAGCCCUCUUCCGUUCAGGAUAACUCUCAUCUUGCUCCAAGUAGCCCUCUUCUCGGUAGUCCUUACCUGUGGCGGCAGGUAGCCCUUUUCAUAUCUUCUUUGUGACAGAGGAAAUAAAUUCAACUCAGCCCAUAGACUGGGUUGGGACUCGGGAUUGCAUUUCAG
rnacentral:lncRNA from 1 species